rnacentral:lncRNA from 1 species
GUAAAUACGGAAUUUUUUCUGAAUGGGAGCUAGCUAAGUUGGCUAAGGUUCAACCCGUAGUAUUCAGUGUUAAUGAACAGUCAUCAAGCAUCCUUGAAAAUGCUUGAGAAAAAAGUAGCAGAGAAUGAUGUCAUCAAGGAGUUUACGGAUUUGGAGCUUAUAAAUCGGCCUGAUGAGUUCAAGCUUGGGAAUCAACAGUGUAACAAAGAAAAGAAAGAUACCAAGAUAUUCUUCCAUAAGGGAACUAAGCACAUUGUAAAACACAUGCAGUUCACCAAGUGGCCAGACCGUGGCACUCCUGCCGCAGCAGAGCAGUUCGUCAACUAUGUCUGCUAUGUGAGGAAGUACCACCAUUCAGGACCCUGAUGGUUCACUGCAGGGCUGGUGUAGGCCGCACGGGAGUGUUCCUAUGUCUGGAUGUUGUAUUCUGUGCCAUCCAAGAUAACCGCUCCGUGAGUAUGUGACUCAAGCAGAGAAGCUGGCACGUCUGUAAACACAGUGCUUUUAACAGCCUGGUAGUAGGGGGGGCUAGCAGGUGGCCUCCAAGAGCAACUUAAAGAAUUGAAAGCACCUUAGCUUUGCAUGUCUGCUUCUCACCUUGCUGCAGCUUCUUGGAGGUCACGUGAGGGUUAAAGUACGCCAUGUAAGUAAAACGUUUAAAAGGUUUAGGACAGUGUUUGGAACAUAAUAGAAAUGCAGUAAUUGGGCCAGCGCCGCGGCUCACUAGGCUAAUCCUCCACCUAGCGGCGCCGGCACACCGGGUUCUAGUCCCGGUCGGGACUCUAGAUUCUGCCCCGGUUGCCCCUCUUCCAGGCCAGCUCUCUGCUGUGGCCAGGGAGUGCAGUGGAGGAUGGCCCAAGUGCUUGGGCCCUGCACCCCAUGGGAGACCAGGAGAAGUACCUGGCUCCUGGCUUCUGAUCAGCACGGUGCGCCGGAUGCAGUGCGCCAGCCGCGAUGGCCAUUGGAGGGUGAACCAAUGGCAAAGGAAGACCUUUCUCUCUGUCUCUCUCUCUCACUGUCCACUCUGCCUGUCAAAAAAAAAAAAAAAAUGCAGUAAUUGUGAAUUCAUUUGCCUUUUCUUUCUUUCUGUUGGCACCCAUGGAUUUAAAAUUUUUUUUCUAGUAAAUGGUGAUAAGACGUUCCUGUGGACCA